rnacentral:rRNA from 1 species
GGACUACCAGGGUUUCUAAUCCCUUUCGCUCCCCUAGCUGUCGUUCAUCAGUGUCAAAAAAUUCCUAGUUUUCUGCCUUCGCCCUUGGUGUUCCUGUCGAUAUCAACGGAUUUCACUCCUACACCGACAGUUCCGAAAACCCCGAAAUAUUUCAAGUCUAAUAGUAUUGCACCCCUUUCUAAGGUUGAGCCCUAGUCUUUGAAGUACAACUUAGUAGACCACCUACGAAACGCUUUACGCCCAAUAAAUCCGGAUAACGCUUGCACCCUCUGUAUUACCGCGGCUGCUGGCAC